rnacentral:lncRNA from 1 species
AUGGAUAUUAAGUUCAGUAAACUAUGUAUCGAUUUAUCUAUACAUGUGUAUUGAAUCGCUGUUGGAUGUGUAUUAAAAAUAUUUAUAGUAUGUAUCAAUAACCAUCUAAUAUAUAUCAUUUACUUAUAUGCUGUAUGGUAAGCGCUAUAUUCUGAAAAUUAUGUAUCGCUUUACAAAAAGAUGUAUAUUAGGAUAUCAGAUAAAUAUUUUGCUAGACGUGUAUUAACUAAUUCUAUACUAUAUACUGGUGUAUA